UACGAAGGGGGCUAGCGUUGCUCGGAAUCACUGGGCGUAAAGGGUGCGUAGGCGGGUCUUUAAGUCAGGGGUGAAAUCCUGGAGCUCAACUCCAGAACUGCCUUUGAUACUGAAGAUCUUGAGUUCGGGAGAGGCGAGUGGAACUGCGAGUGUAGAGGUGAAAAUUCGUAGAUAUUCGCAAGAACACCAGUGGCGAAGGCGGCUCACUGGCCCGAUACUGACGCUGAGGUGCGAAAGCGUGGGGAGCGAACAGG
rnacentral:rRNA from 1 species